CCUUGUAGGAGCAAUCCGAGCUAUGUAGAUAUUACGGAAUGAAAUCGAGCUAUUUGAAUUGCUGAAGUCGAGUAGAAGCCAAAGGUAUUAAGCUGGAAUCGCGUUUGGGGGUCGAGAACCACGUCUAAACUUCAAAAAUUAAGCAAAACGGCAAGCUCUAAGAAAAAACCCACAGUCGCAGCGUGCCACAGCUGCCUUAUUUUGUUGUUGCCUUCAAAGUGCACACUUCCUCAUAAACUCCACUAUCACAUCGCAUGUCGCGUUGCCCCAUGCAGCACGCCUGUGCAAUUUUUAUAGAGUAACAAUCGAAUGUCAACCAGGAGAAGGUGGUUUCGUUCAGGUCUGACCCUACUUGGUAUAAAUACAUGUAAAAAUGUUAUUUUGGGGACAUUUGACACAUUUUAAACCGAAGUCUGAUGACCCGAAAGGUCAUUACUUGAUUUAAAUUAAAUUAUGUAUUUUCUGAGGCCUUGAAAGCCUCUUUAGCCUCGUCUCAAUUUGUGUGCGCAGUCCGUACGUUUAGCCGGAAAGCUUAUAUGGUAAAAUGUAUGAAAAGAAUAAUAAGUUUUGAUUGUAAAAGGAAUAAAUUUGGCUUCGUUCAAUAUUUUGGGUAAACGGACCCGGACCCGUGAUUUAACUGUCCCAGAGGGUCCGUAGGAAAAUAUGAGACUUGGGCGUAUACCCAGAAUUGAAUUUCGAGGUCCCGAACCCGAGAAAUAAAUUUUUUUAGAAAAUUAUUGCCUGAAAGAUUUUAAGGAAAUUUGAAAACAAAUAUGAUUAGAAAGCAUUAGUAUCGGGCCCGUAUUUUGGCUUUGGAGCCCAGUAUAUGUCUUAUAUAUGGUUUAGGUCUUUUCUGUGAAAUUUGAAUAAAAAUGAUUGUCGUUUGACGUAGUUCGAACUUGAAUUGUCAAAUUUAAUACUUGUUGAAGUUUGAGAAAAGUUGUUGAUUUUGAUAAUACGUAUAAAUAUAGCAUGGCAUACCAAUGAGUUGUUUGCUUCCCCUUUCUCUCUUUCUCCUUCAUUUUCUUUUCCUUUUUCCAUGUAUGUAAUUCUCGCUAGUCAAGCCAAAGUAACUUUUCCUUCCCUUCCUCUAAAGUUCUCAAGAUCUGAUGUCUGAAAAGUACAUAAA
rnacentral:lncRNA from 1 species